rnacentral:misc_RNA from 1 species
UACGGAGGGAGCGAACGUUGUUCGGAAUUACUGGGUGUAAAGGGUGCGUAGGCGGCCCUGUGUGUCAGGGGUGAAAUCCCACGGCUCAACCGUGGAAUUGCCUCUGAAACUGCAGGGCUUGAGUCCGUGAGGGGAAGGUGGAAUUCCUGGUGUAACGGUGAAAUGUGCAGAUAUCAGGAAGAACACCCGUGGCGAAGGCGGCCUUCUGGCACGGUACUGACGCUGGGGCACGAAAGCUAGGGUAUCGAACGGG